GGUGGCUCAGUGGUAGAGUACUUGCCUUGCAUGCAUGAGACUUUGGGUUCGAUUCCUCAGCACCA
rfam:Dipodomys ordii contig_41422, whole genome shotgun sequence.